rnacentral:rRNA from 1 species
UAUUAAAGGAUUCCGGUAAAGGAUGGGGAUGCGUUCCAUUAGGUUGUUGGUGAGGUAACGGCCCACCAAGCCUUCGAUGGAUAGGGGUUCUGAGAGGAAGGUCCCCCACAUUGGAACUGAGACACGGUCCAAACUCCUACGGGAGGCAGCAGUGAGGAAUAUUGGUCAAUGGGCGCGAGCCUGAACCAGCCAAGUAGCGUGAAGGAUGACUGCCCUAUGGGUUGUAAACUUCUUUUAUAUUAGAAUAAAGUGCAGUAUGUAUACUGUUUUGUAUGUAUAAUAUGAAUAAGGAUCGGCUAACUCCGUGCCAGCAGCCGCGGUAAUACGGAGGAUCCGAGCGUUAUCCGGAUUUAUUGGGUUUAAAGGGAGCGUAGGUGGACUGGUAAGUCAGUUGUGAAAGUUUGCGGCUCAACCGUAAAAUUGCAGUUGAUACUGUCAGUCUUGAGUACAGUAGAGGUGGGCGGAAUUCGUGGUGUAGCGGUGAAAUGCUUAGAUAUCACGAAGACUCCGAUUGCGAAGGCAGCUCACUGGACUGCAACUGACACUG